CGGCGGUCGCUGCAAAACCUAG
rnacentral:snRNA from 1 species